CGUGCUUACCAUGCAAGUCGAACGAUGAAGCCCAGCUUGCUGGGUGGAUUAGUGGCGAACGGGUGAGUAACACGUGGGUGAUCUGCCCUGCACUCUGGGAUAAGCCUGGGAAACUGGGUCUAAUACCGGAUAUGACCUCGGGAUGCAUGUUCUGGGGUGGAAAGUUUUUCGGUGCAGGAUGAGCCCGCGGCCUAUCAGCUUGUUGGUGGGGUAAUGGCCUACCAAGGCGACGACGGGUAGCCGGCCUGAGAGGGCGACCGGCCACACUGGGACUGAGACACGGCCCAGACUCCUACGGGAGGCAGCAGUGGGGAAUAUUGCACAAUGGGCGCAAGCCUGAUGCAGCGACGCCGCGUGAGGGAUGACGGCCUUCGGGUUGUAAACCUCUUUCACCCAUGACGAAGCGCAAGUGACGGUAGUGGGAGAAGAAGCACCGGCCAACUACGUGCCAGCAGCCGCGGUAAUACGUAGGGUGCGAGCGUUGUCCGGAAUUACUGGGCGUAAAGAGCUCGUAGGCGGUUUGUCGCGUCGUCUGUGAAAUCCCGCAGCUCAACUGCGGGCUUGCAGGCGAUACGGGCAGACUCGAGUACUGCAGGGGAGACUGGAAUUCCUGGUGUAGCGGUGAAAUGCGCAGAUAUCAGGAGGAACACCGGUGGCGAAGGCGGGUCUCUGGGCAGUAACUGACGCUGAGGAGCGAAAGCGUGGGUAGCGAACAGGAUUAGAUACCCUGGUAGUCCACGCCGUAAACGGUGGGCGCUAGGUGUGGGUUUCCUUCCACGGGAUCCGUGCCGUAGCCAACGCAUUAAGCGCCCCGCCUGGGGAGUACGGCCGCAAGGCUAAAACUCAAAGGAAUUGACGGGGGCCCGCACAAGCGGCGGAGCAUGUGGAUUAAUUCGAUGCAACGCGAAGAACCUUACCUGGGUUUGACAUGUACCGGACGACUGCAGAGAUGUGGUUUCCCUUGUGCCGUAGACAGGUGUGCAUGGCUGUCGUCAGCUCGUGUCGUGAGAAUGUUGGGUUAAGUCCCGCAACGAGCGCAACCCUUGUUCUGGUGUUGCAGCA
rnacentral:rRNA from 1 species